AAAUUGAAGGGUUUGAUCCUGGCUCAGAAUGAACGUUGGCGGCGUGGAUUAGGCAUGCAAGUCGUACGGAGGUAGCAAUACCUUAGUGGCGAAAGGGAUAGGAACACAUAGAUU
rnacentral:rRNA from 1 species